GAGUUGUGGCUCAGUGGUAGAGCACUUGCCUGGCAUGCAUGAGGCACUGGGUUCCAUCCCAGAAACCA
rnacentral:tRNA from 1 species